rnacentral:tRNA from 1 species
AAUAAAAUGCCUGACAAAAGGAUUAUUCUGAUAGAAUAAAUUAUUUAACAUAAGUUAAUUUUAUUA